rnacentral:lncRNA from 1 species
GUGAAUGUAGAGAUCUAAAAUACAUUUUGCCACACUGGUUUCCAGAGGAUUGUUUUGGCCUCCCGUUCCAAUACCAUGAGCCAAAACUCUGGUCAGUGUUUUGACAACAGAGCCAGGAAAAACAAAAAAGGCUUAGCCUGUGAAAAAGAAAUGAAGAUGUAGUGAAGGAAAACAGUAGUCUCUCUGCCACCGCCUUACUCGAUCCAUAUGUGGACUUAAACACAGGAAAUACCCACCAUUCACCGCAAUCAAGGCAGGGGCUUGUGCAUCACAGAGUGCCUUGUGGAACUAAUUGGGCUCUAUUAAGAUUGUCACUGACAUAGGAACGCAUUUUGAGAUUUUAAGUCAGAAUGUUUAAAGAAUACAGAAAAACGGUAACCACUGUAGGAGCGAUAAUUUCUUGCAAGUAUGCUCUCAGCAGCUCUGAAAUCUUACAAUGGGCUCCUGUUGUGGGUUCUUUUUUUCUGCAUAGAUUAAUUAUCUAUUUGUGAUGUCUGUGUUCUGAAGCUCUUUACGUUAGCUUUCCAUCUGAAGUCUUUCUGACGCAGACAGAAAUCACUGUGUGCGCUCCGGCAUUGCUGCGGAGUGGAAGAAAAUCUGGAUUUCUCCAAUUCAAAGUGAUAACCAGCGUGGUACCUUUGGACAGGCAAAGUCUGCAGAGAAAGCACAGCUACAAAUAAUAGCUCCUGGGCUGUUUUUGUUGUUUUGUUUUGUUUUGUUUUCCUUUUCCCCCUUCAUUUCAUAGACUUGAGUGAAAACAACAUUUGUCCUUUCCAACAAGUGUUUGGCAAAGUACUUCUUUUAGCACUUCCAUGCCAGAUAUCUCUAUGUGAGGUUUUGGUGAUGCGUCUCCUAACUAUGUUGAUUUUAAGGCUUUCUUUCUUUUUCACUCUGUACCGUUGCAUUUGGAUUCUUAGCAUGGCAAGGCACUAUUAGACCUGAACAUACAACGUUAAGAUUUCCAAUUAAAUUCAACCUCUGGGUAAUUUUCACUAAAUUCACACUUGUGAACACCUGUGAUCUUUUUUUUUUUCUUUUCUUUCUAGUGCUUUCUAUCUAAUCAGCGGGAUCACUUGUACUUAAAACAACACAGGCUCUUUAGUACACUACUGAAAUCACUACCAAGUCAGAUCUCUUGGUCUUCUUGAUGGAUGAAGAAGUGUUUGAUGGGGUGAUGUGAGUUUUCCCCAGCUUUCAAGUCAUCAAACAGGGCUGCUGUGGAGCUGUCUAACAAAAAUAUCUGUUCCUCCAUGUCAGCCACACAGUGCUGCAGCAGAACUAGGGGUUCAGAAUGUGUUUUGUCUGCUGUACCUAAGAGGUUUCUUUUCUUUUCCCUCAUUUAAUUUGCAUCUUUGACCCUUUUCUUUUUGUUAACCCAAAUGGUACUUCGUUCAAAUUUCGUGACAAAUUCCUGUUAAAAAAUUCUUGUUUUUGAAAGACUUGCAAGACCAAAUGUGUUGAUGCAGAGCAACGGCUGCAGUUGUACUUUCCGUGUGUUGAAACCCAGCUGGCAGAUAUUUGUCAUACAGGUAGCUGAACCUCUCCUCCCAGAGCUGCAUAUCCAAGCUUCGAGUUUGUCUGCAGAGGUGUUAACUCACUGUCAGUGUGAAACAUAAUGGCAGCGGAUACUUGCUCUCUUUUGCUAUCUCUAGAAAAUGAAAGACCCAAUUUUCCUUGCCUGGUAGAAAGCUUGGAAUAAAAUUCUUGAGGCUCACUGUCCUAUUUCUUAUCCUGCCCGUUAGCAGCACUCAAAGGCCCUGGCAGAGUAUACCAGCUCUUCCUCCAGAGCCAACCAAUAGGUGAACACCUCCUCGUUCCAGUUAUGAUUUCUUCUCCCAGCUCGGGCAGCAGCCUUAUCCCGACAUUUUAAAUCUUGUGCAGAUUUGCCUUCAGGACUUGGGAACCGUUCCUUGUGUUUUAUGAGGUCUGUUGGGGGCAAGAGAGGGGAGAAAGUCUGUGUGUAAAUAUAUAAAAUGUGAGGACUUUACAGGCAUGACUUAGGUCUGAUUGCAAUGUAAACAGAACUGAUUAUUGUGCUGGUAGAUGCCUUCAAAGUAUGUUUGGAGUACAGUAGUCUAUAUGGCAUAUUCAGAAAGCAAUCAAAUGUAUAAUAAAUUAAGAACAGACAAAACAGUUAUUUUGCUAUGAAGUUGUUCAUUCUCUAUACAUGUCAUUCUUAAUUUCUUUGCAAUGUGAAAUGACAUAUAUGCAAAAAGCUCCCCUGAACAAAACUAUCAGCCCUAUCCACACAUCCACCCAAAUUCUUGUAAGAACAAGAAAGAAGAAAAAUAAAGGUUGGCACCUCAAGACCUGCACAGGUGCACUAUCAUUAAUUUUUGAAAAUGAGAACGAGGGGCUAUGGACACCAAUGUUGUGUAUUGUUGUAUUUUGUUUUGUAUAUACAAACGUUUGCAUUGCUGGCUUUGAAGUGGCAGCAAAUGAAUAUCACCCUUGAACGUCAGUGUAAUUAGAUUUCUAAGUUAUCCAUAUCUUACCUCAUGAGGUGGGCAUUGGGCUGACAUGCACCGGGGGCAAAGGAAUUCAUAUUUUGGCUUCUUCAGUGACUUUGCAAGAUGAUUUCCUCAGCCAUUACCCAUUACAGUUCUCUGCAAAGCCAAUGUUUACACCGAUCCAUUUUCUCUUGUUUUUUUGUUUUUUUCUUUUCUUUUCACUGUGGAUACUAAAUAUAAAAUGGUUUCAUUCUUUAAGGAAGCAAGAACAAAAGAACAAAAGAUGAGAUACACUGAGACAGGCAAAGAAAGAAAAGAAAGAAAAAUGAGUGAGAUGAGAGGAAAAUCAGAGACAUGGAGUCUCAUGUUUAUGAACUAUAAUCCUUGGAUGAUUUAUCACUUUCUGUACAUAGUGGUAGUCAAUCUUCAUGCUGUGGUUCCUUCAAUGAAGGCAUUUAAUUGGAACAGGAUCUGAGGUAUUUACACACCAAUGCAUACAACAUUAGCUUCUUUCUAAGGACAAAACAUUGC